AUGAAGGAAUGCCUUCGGUCGGCCGAGGGGCCUGUGUAUCUUCCAAUAUCCGGCAGUGUUACACGAAGAACUGUUCUUUAGUUGAAGUUGCAGUGCAAGCUGAAUUUCCCCUUGAGCUGACAAGACAACCAGGAGGCUGGCUAAACCCUGCUUCCCACCACAAGACUGCUGCAGCUGAGAGAUCCUAGGACACAUGACAAAGGCCAGCAGAAGCAAUGCCUCUUAUUAAAUACCUGAUUGUACAGUAAGCUUAACUUCUACUUGGAAAUACUGCUUUGGAAGAGAAAAUUAAGAAAAAAGCAUCAUUAAAAAAAAGACAAGGUUGGGCUUCCCUGGUGGCGCAGUGGUUGAGAGUCCGCCUGCCGAUGCAGGGGACACGGGUUCGUGCCCCGGUCCGGGAAGAUCCCACAUGCCGCGGAGCGGCUGGAGCCGUGAGCCAUGACCGCUGAGCCUGCGUGUCCGGAGCCUGUGCUCUGCAACGGGAGAGGCCACAACAG